rnacentral:snoRNA from 1 species
UCACCUUGACCAGUCAUCAGUAGGCUUGUGUUUUUUAAGCUUUUUAUUAGAAAAUAAUUACAGUCAGUCUGUAAUCUUGGUGGGCGAUACAGAGUUACGUGUGUUCACUGUAAGGGCAGACCAACAAGAACUUUUUCCUACUUUUGAGCUAUCUCUUUUUAAUAGGGGUGAUUCUUCCAGUUGCUGGAGAGAAAUUGUGGUAACUGGAGGGAGAGAGUAGGAACAGGGCAUGUUCAGGGUAUCAUGGCCAAGGGUCCCAAAGGACUUAGCUUGUAUUAAGACCGCUGAGAGAUGAAAUGCAGAUCUUUGGUAAUCUGAUGGAA